CCUGCAACCCAGAUCAAUUUUUCUGUCACACACAUGGCCGCACUCACACACACACACACACACACACACACACACACACACACACACACACACACACACACACACACACACACACUGGGGCACAGGGAGAGACAGGCAGAGAGGGAGAGAGAGGAUUUUAAGCUAUUCCAGCUCCUUCCCAUUUGAAAUCGAGUAAAAACACCGCCCACCUGCUCCUCCAGACUCCAGACUGGACACUGAGCGCUGAAUCUGUUGCACGCCUGAACACAAGCGUGAGUCAGGAGCGCCGCAGUGUACAGGACGGAGACCUCCAGCACAGAGAGAGUGUGUGUCUCUCUUUAUGUGUGUGUGUGUCUGUGUGUGUGUGUGCACCUCAGAAAGCAUUGC